GAAUGCUGACAUAAGUAACGAUAAAGCGGGUGAAAAGCCCGCUCGCCGGAAGACCAAGGGUUCCUGUCCAACGUUAAUCGGGGCAGGGUGAGUCGACCCCUAAGGCGAGGCCGAAAGGCGUAGUCGAUGGGAAACGGGUUAAUAUUCCCGUACUUGGUGUUACUGCGAAGGGGGGACGGAGAAGGCUAUGUUGGCCGGGCGAC
rnacentral:rRNA from 1 species